GCCAUCUCCUGCUACUGGAGCCAGCUAACACCUUUUUUGUGGUUAGCGUCUUACUGCCGAGCAACCAUGAGCUCCCAAAUGCAUCAGAAUUAUUCCACCGAGGUGGAGGCAGCCGUCAACCACCUGGUCAAUUUGCAUCUGCGGGCCUCCUACACCUACCUCUCUCUGGGCUACUAUUUCGAUCGCAACGAUGUGGCUCUGGAAGGCAUGGGCCACUUUUUCCGCGAAUUGGCUGAUGAGAAGCGAGAGGGUGCCGAGCAGUCUCUUGAAGAUGCAAAACCAGCGUGGCGGGCGUGCUCUCUUCCAGGACGUGCAGAAGCCAUCUCAAGAUGAGUGGGGUACCACCCAAGACAAAAUGGAAGCCGCCAUGGCCCUGGAGAAGAGCCUGAACCAGGCUCUUCUGGAUCUUCAUGCUCUGGGUUCUACCCACACAGACCCCCAUCUCUGUGACUUCCUGGAGAAUCACUUCCUAGAUGAGGAAGUGAAACUCAUCCAGAAGAUGGGUGACCACCUGACCAACCUCUGCAGGCUGGCCGGCCCCCAGGCUGGGCUGGGCGAGUAUCUCUUCGAAAGGCUCACUCUCAAGCACAACUAGGAGGCUGCCAAGCCCAGUGACCACUGAAGAGCCCCUCUUAACGUAUCAAGGCUUCUGCCUGAGCUUCUCCCUCCAGCUACUAGACAGCUUUUUAAC